rnacentral:rRNA from 1 species
ACGAAGGGACCUAGCGUAGUUCGGAAUUAUUGGGCGUAAAGAGCUCGUAGGCGGUUUGUCACGUCUGCUGUGAAAAUCCAAGGCUCAACCUUGGACUUGCAGUGGGUACGGGCAGGCUAGAGUGCGGUAGGGGAGAUGGGAAUUCCUGGUGUAGCGGUGGAAUGCGCAGAUAUCAGGAGGAACACCAAUGGCGAAGGCACAUCUCUGGGCCGUAACUGACGCUGAGGAGCGAAAGCGUGGGGAGCGAACAGG